UAUCAAGUUCCUUGUAAUUUAUGUAACUAUGGAGAAAGCGUUAACCUCUUUUCUCUUAACAUCUUUGUUGCUUCAUUAUGUUAUGGCCAGUUCAGCGAUGACCAAAACCAACAUUACUACUGAUCAAUUGGCUCUUUCUUCUCUUAAAUCCCAAAUCGCUUCAGACCCCUUUCAUUUCUUGGAUGAAAGUUGGUCUUUCGCUACGUCCAUUUGCCAUUGGGUUGGAGUUACUUGUGGCUCUCGUCACCAACGUGUGAAUUCCUUGAAUCUCUCUAACAUGGCUCUUACGGGCAAGAUUCCCCGUGAUCUUGGAAACCUCACAUUUCUUGUUUCUCUCGACUUGGGAAGCAACAAUUUCCAUGGAAAUUUGCCUCAAGAAAUGGCACAUUUGCGUCAGCUUAAGUUUCUUGAUUUAAGUUUUAACAGCUUCAGAGGGAGAUUCCUUCUUGGUUUGGGUUUUUACACCAACUUCAAGUUCUAAAUCUUGGAAAUAAUAGUUUCACUGGUCACAUUCCUUCUUCAUUUUCUAAUAUUUCCAAACUUGAGACUUUGAAUAUGAAAUGCAAUUCCAUAGAGGGCCAAAUACCAAAAGUGAUUGGAAGUCUUCUAAACCUUAGAGAAUUAAACAUAAGGGCUAACAAUCUCAUAGGUUCUAUUCCUCUGUCACUCUCGAAUGCCUCAAGAUUGGAGACUUUGGAGAUAUCUCAUAAUUCACUUCUAGGAAACAUUCCAGAAGGGAUCGGCAAUUUUCACAACAUGAAAGUGUUAUCCGUACAAUAUAAUCAACUUACGGGUUCUAUACCAUUCACAGUUUUCAAUAUUUCUAGAAUUGAAAAUAUAGCAUUUACAAUGAAUAGCUUAUCAGGAAGUCUUCCCAAUGGUUUAUGCAAUGGUUUCCCAAUACUCAAAGGGCUUUAUCUAGCCGGAAACAAGCUUCAUGGUCAUAUGACUACAAGCUUGUCAAAUUGUUCACAACUUCAACUAUUGUCUUCAUCAGAAAAUGAUUUAACAGGUGAAAUACCCAAAGCGAUAAGCAAUCUCAUUGAGUUGGAGGUACUUGAUCUUCAGAAUAAUAGAUUCAGUGGUUCACUUUCAAAAAAUAGAUAUGGAGACCUUCAAUAUAUCUGGUCUGAGAGAGAUUUCUCUGUCAAAAAAUAAUCUAUCGGGAAGCCUCCCACCAAACAUAUGUUCUAUCUUACCCAACGUUGAAAGAGUUUAUCUGGCCUACACCAAUCUUGUUGGGACUAUUCCUCAUUCCAUCUCCAAUUGUUCAAAACUUACUAUUCUAGAGUUUUCAUACAACCAACUCACAGGCUUGAUUCCCAACUCACUUGGAUAUUUGACUCAUCUACAGUAUCUAAAUUUAGGGAGAAACAAUUUAACCAGUGACUCAUCAUUAAGCUUCCUGACUUCCUUAUCUAAUAACAGAAAUAUAACAGUUCUUUAUCUAUAUUCCAACCCUCUAAAUGGCAUGCUUCCAGCCUCCACGGGGAACCUUUCCACCUCUCUUAGAAAAUUUUACGCCAACAGUUGCAAAAUCAAAGGGCGCAUUCCAAAUGAAGUUGGGAACAUAAGCAGCUUAUUAGACCUUGAUCUUUCUGGAAAUAACUUGGUCGGAUCGAUUCCAACAUCAAUUGGCAACUUGAGAGACCUUCAGCGGUUCAACUUGAGUAGCAACAAACUUACAGGAUUUAUUGGAGAUCAUAUAUGUAAAUUGCAUUAUUUGGGUGCUAUUUACUUGGGUCAAAAUCAACUUUCAGGACCUCUUCCAAAUUGUUUAGGGAACGUUACUUCCCUUAGGGAGAUACAUCUGGGUUUCAAUAAAUUGAGUUCCAAUAUACCACCAAGCAUAGGGAACCUUCAAGAUCUAGUGGUUCUUGACUUAUCGUCAAACAACAUGGUAGGUACUUUACCUCCGAAAAUUGGAAAUCUAAAGCUGCAACACUAAUAGAUCUGUCAAUGAAUCGAUUCUCAAAUGGAAUUCCUAGAGAAAUUGGAGGAUUACAAACUCUGGUGCACCUUUCUUUGAGACACAACAAGUUGCAAGGAUUAUACCUGACUCAAUGAGCAACAUGGUAGGUUUGGAAUUCCUAAACCUUUCUGAUAAUAAUAUAUCGGGAACUAUUCCCAUGUCUUUGGAGAAACUCCACAACCUGAAGUAUUUCAAUGUUUUUGUCAACAAGUUGUACGGUGAAAUACCCUCGGGGGGUCCUUUCAAGAACCUCUCGAGUGAGUUUUUCAUCGACAAUGAAGCAUUGUGUGGUUCUUCAAGAUUUAAUGUCCCGCCAUGCCCCACUUCAUCAAAGCACAGAUCAAAUAGGAAAAAGUUGCUACUUUCAUUUCUUUUGCUUGGAAUCACAUUGUUAUUUGGUCCUGCCACCGUUGUGUUUGUAUGGAUAAGGUAUCAAAGAGGUAAUAGAGCCCCUCAACAAGCAGAUUCAUUUUCUGCCAUAACACGAGAAAGAAUUUCAUACUAUGAACUGCUCCAAGCAACUGAUGCGCUUAGCGAGAGUAAUCUGAUUGGUUCUGGAAGUUUUGGCUCUGUCUACAAAGGCAUUCUCAGAAGUGGAACUUCCAUUGCUGUUAAAGUGUUCAAUUUCAACUGGAUGCAGCAUUCAGGAGUUUUGACACAGAAUGCGAUGUUUUGAGCUGCCUUCGCCAUAGGAAUCUAGUAAAAGUCACUACUAGUUGUUCCAACAUUGAUUUUAAGGCUUUAGUGCUUGACUACAUGCCUAAUGGGAGUUUUGAGAAGUAUUUGUAUUCAUACAACUACUUCCUUGACAUCAAGCAGAGACUAAGCAUAAUGAUAGAUGUGGCAUGUGCUUUGGAAUAUCUUCACCAUGGGUGCGCAUUGCCAGUCAUUCACUGUGAUGUGAAGCCUAGUAACGUCUUGCUAGAUGAGGAUAUGGUUGCCCACCUAAGCGACUUUGGCAUCUCGAAACUUCUUGGUGAAUAUGAGAGUGAUUUAUACACAAAAACCUUAGCAACGCUGGGUUAUAUUGCUCCAGAGUAUGGGCAAGGUGGGUUAGUGUCUACUAAAUGUGAUGUCUAUAGUUAUGGGAUCAUGUUGCUGGAAACGUUUACCGGAGAAAGCCUAAUGAUUUUGAGGGAGAUCUUAGCUUGAAGCAAUGGGUGAGUCAUUCACUCCCAGAGGAUAACACCAAUGAAUAAUCGCUUACAGAAGGAGCUAGAUGUUGUGCCAUCCAUCAUGGAAGUGGCAUUAGAUUGUUGUGCUGAAUCUCCGGCAGGAAGGACAAACAUGAAAGAUGUUGUUGGGAUGCUACAGAAGAUCAUGAUUCAACUUCUUACAUGUUGAGCAUGUUGUUGGAAUCUUUUGUCCAAACCACUUGUUUGUUGCAAAUGUUUGCUAAAUUGUUGGAUUCAUGUAUAGAUUGCUUGUUUUUUUAGCACUUGAUUUGUGAAUGAUCUGCAAUAAACCUCACUAUUUCCUUUUAACUAAAUCCUGGGUACUAUAUAUAAGUGGUCCAAUACUAUCCAAACAAUGUGCUUCCUUCAUCAAGUUUUCAAAGUUGUAAAGUUGGAAUAUUGGAUUUCACAUCUUAUGGAAGUUAGGAUACGUUCAUAUCAGCACUAACACAAUGGAUCCCAUCAGAAUUCCAAAGCUAAGCAUGCCGAAGUGGAAAUUUUUAAAGAAGAGUAAGGCCGAAUUUUAUUUGAAAGGGAAAGACAGAUAGUUGCUGGUAAACGACAUUUCAAUUUGUCAAAUUGACUUACCUGCAUAUGGAUCAUGUUUGAUCAGGCACAGCUAUUUUCAGUUUUAGAUAUGGUUAAGGUGGAUUGGCAUAUUGUAUUUUCGAUUUCUCAUAAACAAGCAAGUUGCAAAGAAUCCUAUAGAUCUCGAGCAGUAUCAAGGUGAUACUCAGGAGAAAAGGAUACAAACAAGGAAGAUCUUCCAGGAUCUGAUGCAUUGGUUAUGUCUACUAGGAGUUACAAUCAUGUUGAGGUCCAAAAUAAUGCUGCUAAUUUGAUCAGUGCUUCAAAUAUCAAAUCAGGGCAGCAGCAAACAUAGGCGUUUUAGGUGAUAAAAUUUUGAACAGAGCGUUGGCAGAGGAAAACAGGUUGCUGAUCACGUUGAGAAGGAGUCUUUUUUAGUAGUAUAGCAUACUGUUAGAAUGCGUACCCUACUGAUUUACUUAUUUUACUCUAGUAGUUUCCUAUCAAAGGAACUAGUAGUCUAACGUGUUUCACUCAAGCUGCAUAAGUAAAAGACAGUAUUUUUGCAAGUCUUGGUGUGACAACACCAAAUUCAGAUUGUGCCAUGGUAAUUCAGAACAAAAUAGAAUGCAUGUUUGAAGUCAAAAUUUUCAGAUGUUGAAACUAGACUAAUGCAUGAUUCAGAACAGGAUAAAAUUGGGCAUAAAGAGAUGUUAGGUGGUUCUCCGAACAAGGCACGAGUUCAGAAGACUCGUUGCCCGAAACCGUGAUUUGUUGACCCGGAUAUAUUAUAUUACGCUGGCCUAGUGCCGUGUGGCGUAUCAAAAUUAGAAAUUCCAACCCUUGCGGCACACUCGGGUUGGGAACUUCCCCGCUGAGUCAAUGACGGAUUCCAUACAGCCCGUGGAAUUUUAGACUUGUAGGGGUAUACCACCUAACUCAGAAUUAAUACGAAGAUCAGAAACUGCAUUGUCAAGAAUGAUUUACGAUUUUCAGAAAAGUGCCCAUGUGUUUUUGAAAACUAUUUUAUGUAUGACGUUUUGACAAAUUGCUCUCCAUUAUUUUAUUUGUGUAAAAGCCUUUUUUUGAAUUACUUUGCGUACCAGUACAACUGUAUUGACCCACCUACUUCUCAGGUUCUGAGGCUCAGUCUAGGGGUCCAGAUAAGCAGUAGAUUUUCUCUGACAGAGUUGCAGGUCUCCAGUUGGUAAGCCUUCUAUAUUCCAGAAGGCCUGUUUACUUUCAGACUAUUAUUAUUAGUUAUGGUUUUGGUCUACUGGGGGCCUUGUCCCAGUUUUCUGAUUGUGUUAGUGAUCAUGUAGUAGAGAUUUCACAGACGGUUUCCAGAUAUUGUUAGAUGGUUUUGGGUUGUCACUGUCUAUUAUCAAAUUUAUAUCAGAUUUGUGACCAUGAUUCCGUUUGUUGAAAUUUCCCCAUUUCCUUAUUUGUGUAUGAAUGGUGUAUAUGAUUUCAGGUUAGAAGGGUGUCCAGGUCUUCAUGGUUCGGGAUGCUCGUCACGGCCAGGGCCUCGGUUCGGGUCGUGACACACCAAGCUUAGGUAACCUUCAAGAUCUAGUUGUUCUUGACUUAUUUUCAAACAACAUGGUAGCUUCUUUACCUCCAAAAAUUGAAAAUCUAAAGGCUGUAACAAAGAUGGAUCUAUCGAUGAAUCAAUUUUCAAACAGAAUUCCAAGAGACAUUGGAGGAUUGCAAAAUUUGGCACUCCUUUCUUUGAGGCAUAACAAGUUGCAAGGAUCUAUACCUGACUCAAUAAGCAACAUGGUAGGUUUGGAAUUCCUAGACCUUUCUCACAAUAAUAUAUCUGGAAACAUUCCCAAGUCUUUGGAGAAGUGUAACACCCCGUACUUUUGUGAUAGAAGCAAGACCAUCGUGCUUAUGUGUAUAGAUCCGAACUAGAUGAUUCCUUGUUAAUAUAUGUGUGGUGAUCAAUCCUAUAGUGUAAGAAUACCUUUGACAAUGAAUUGAGUUCACAAAAAUCUCCUAACUCUAAGACGAAUUGAAAACAUUUCAAUCGAAUAAGUUUUAGUGGAUGUUUAAAUAUGGGUCAACUUCCAUCGAGCAUAACUCCUAGAAUAUGAUUAAUUAGAGAUCCUACUAUAUAUCAAAUGAAAGAUCUUCGAAUUAUCUUUCCAACGAUACCAAUUUUACCAAAACCCGACAUCCGAGCAAGAAGUUAUGGCUUUGCAAAGUAAAGUGUGUCGCCCAGCAUAGGGUGUGCGACACACACCCUAACUUAUGCCAUAAGGUGUGCGAUGCACACACUAAUGUGUGGGAUAAAGUGUGCGCCGCAACACCUAUCUUAUGCGAUAAGGUGUGCGCCGCAUACAUAUUGACCCAAGUGACUUAAACACUCCAUUUUUGGGGCAAAAUGAUCCUUUUCCCACCCAUAUAUAGUCCAUAAACACGGAAUUUAUUUCCAAAACAACCAAAAUACACUCUUUUCUCCAAAUCCCUCAAGAACUAACCCUUAGGGUCUCAACCAAAAUAUCAAGAUCCCUCAAGAUUCAACCAUGGGUUUUUAAAAUUGAUUAAAGAUUUGGAAUCCCCAAAUCGUAGGCUUCAAGAAUCAUCCAUCGAAUUCCUAAUUUGAGGUACUUGGGGUUUUCCUAAAAAUUUAUAGGCAAAGAAACAUUCUUUAAUUCAUACUAAGGAUUUAUAAAUCAUGUUUUAAGAAAGGGGUUU